rnacentral:rRNA from 1 species
UACAGAGGGGGCAAGCGUUGUUCGGAAUUACUGGGCGUAAAGGGCGCGUAGGCGGCCUUCUAAGUCGAACGUGAAAUCCCCGGGCUCAACCCGGGAACUGCGUCCGAUACUGGGAGGCUUGAAUCCGGGAGAGGGAUGUGGAAUUCCAGGUGUAGCGGUGAAAUGCGUAGAUAUCAGGAGGAACACCGGUGGCGAAGGCGGGUCUCUGGGCCGAUACUGACGCUGAGGAGCGAAAGCGUGGGGAGCGAACAGG